CCUCGUGCCCCAAAACAUGAUGCAACCCAUGGGAAAUCAAGUCACUUGCCAGUCACAUGAAGGUCCCUUGCUAUUCAGCCAGCACAAAGGUCUUUGUGCUGGUCAAUCCAGCUGCAGGAUUCUAGCUUUCCAAGAAGAAGCAAGUUGAUGGGAGCAAGCACUGAAAGUGGAAACAGGCAGAAGCUUGUAAACAGGGUGUACUCCCCACCAUUCAGAGGCAGAGCCAAACCGAGAAUGAAAAACAGCAUCCCAUCGUCUGGUCCUGCCCAGCAACUUCAUCCCAAGCUCAGUGAGAUGCUGUCCCCAGAGCUGCAGCCGGGGAGACUCCUCCAGUUUCACAAGCACACCCUCUUGUAAUUUCCACCUCUUUGGAGUAGCAACUUGGAUAAAUUGAAAAUGGCACAUGAAACAUCUCUGUGCCUUUCAAAGGGAGGGAGCAUCUCUAAUGAGCUUUUGAAAGAAAGCACAGCAUCGCCCAGUGGAAAGAAAUGUGUAGUGACCACCCAGGCCUGCAGACGAGGCUCUACGAUCAAGCGUGGAUGCUAAUUCCUGAUUCCACCCAGUCUCACAUUAAUUCUCAGGAGUCAGAAGACCUACAAAUGUACUCAGGGCAUCCAGAGAGAGGCAGAAUGCUGCUGGAUUGGACACAAAGGACCUGGUCUCUAAUUCUAGUGCCACUUAUUUCCUUCUUCCCCCAGGUCCGCGACUCUGGCUUUGAGACAGCUGCUUUCCCAACUCUCAUUCAUGGGAAACCCACCCUAGCUGAGCUUCCCACCUCAGAGCAAACUGGAGAGAACCCAUGCCAAGUGCUUCAGCAGUCGCGGGGAUGAGAGUCCUACGCAAAUAUGAAAUGUGGCAUGCAGUCUCACAGAAGAACAUGUUCUCACCAAGGAUUGUUACAGAGAGCUGCCUUGUUCAAAGGUCCAAAACGGCUUUGGCAAAGGGUAUCUUUCUUUCCAUAUUUGGCCAGAAAUAUGAGCUGACAGCAAAUGCUAUGAUUUUGAAAUACAUGGCAUAUUAUUUUUGCGA
rnacentral:lncRNA from 1 species